AAUAUUGGACAAUGGGGGAAACCCUGAUCCAGCCAUGCCGCGUGAGUGAUGAAGGCCUUAGGGUUGUAAAGCUCUUUCGGCGGGGACGAUAAUGACGGUACCCGCAGAAGAAGCCCCGGCGAACUUCGUGCCAGCAGCCGCGGUAAUACGAAGGGGGCUAGCGCUGUUCGGAAUCACUGGGCGUAAAGGGCGCGUAGGCGGCCAAUCAAGUCGGGGGUGAAAGCCUGUGGCUUAACCACAGAAUUGCCUUCGAUACUGUUUGGCUUGAGACCGGAAGAGGUCAGUGGAACUGCGAGUGUAGAGGUGAAAUUCGUAGAUAUUCGCAAGAACACCAGUGGCGAAGGCGGCUGACUGGUCCGGAUCUGACGCUGAGGCGCGAAAGCGUGGGGAGCAAACAGG
rnacentral:rRNA from 1 species